UUAAUUCAAUAUUUAUGUAAGGAAAAGUCUUUUUGCAGGCAUGAUGCGGACCGAAUCGCGCACCAUUGCUGACGUGGAGUAAAUGAAACGGCGCGUUUCGUCUAAGCGGAAAGCCCUUUCCUCUUUCUUGUUCAACAAUACGUUUUCCUUCCUUUUCAAUUCUUCCCUCUUUUUUCGUUGUGAUGCUCGAAACUCCUCAGGCUGAAAAUGGUAGCCCCAUCAGUCACCCCCCACACUCACUAUCGCUGAAGCUGAUGCUCGAAGAGGAAAUCCCCAUCUGUUGUUUUUUCUCUCUAUCUAUCUCCUGCUUUUGGUUAUUCGAUCUAUUAUCUAUUUUCCUUACAUAUAUCUUUUCCUAUUCAAUUUCAUUAGUCUCUCUCAGGUUUGUGCGAAAAGGGUUGAAGGGAAAGUUGGGAGCGUUGCAGGGUAGAGAAUCAGAGAGAAAGAGAUGGCGUCGCCCCUGGGGAAUUUUUGGGCCAGUUCAAAGGCAGCAAGGUAGACAGCAACAACAACAAUAAGUUGUUUUGCUACAGAGAUUCUGGAGGGAUUUGAUGUGCAGAGAACAAGUAAUUCUACUCAUUCUGGCUUCAACACUCUGUUUUGACUAGGAGGGUGACUGAAGUGCACAAGAGGAGAUGCUUAGCAGGCAGAGGAAAGAUGUGAUCAAUUUAGUUGCUUGUAAGAAUAUAUUCAACUUAGUCUGGGGCAAAUGAGUGUUUUAAUCCCCUUGAACUAACAAGGCUUCAUGGUUCCUGAAGCUUGUAUUUCAUGAAGCAAAAGCAAUCUGCUUUAAACUUUGAGGAGAUUUCACAAUAGGGCACUGUAAAUAAGAGAUAAGAGUGUGGAGGAUUUGUUGAAGAGCUUUCUUAUGUUGAGCUGUGUUCUGUUUAAUUGUUAGGACUUGGAUGCUAUUUCACAUUCUCGAUUGAAAUGUUCAUAAAAGAUAUGCCAAUCA